UACAGAGGGUGCUAGCGUUGUUCGGAAUCAUUGGGCGUAAAGGGCGUGUAGGCGGUUUGCUAAGUCAUGUGUGAAAUCCCUCGGCUCAACCGGGGAACGACGCAUGAAACUGGCAAGCUAGAGUACCAAAGAGGGGGGUGGAAUUCCCGGUGUAGCGGUGAAAUGCGUAGAUAUUCGGAAGAACACCAGUGGCGAAGGCGACUUACUGGACACAUAUUGACGCUGAGGUGCGAAAGCGUGGGGAGCAAACAGG
rnacentral:rRNA from 1 species